GGGUUGUGAGGUUAAGCGACUAAGCGUACACGGUGGAUGCCCUGGCAGUCAGAGGCGAUGAAGGACGUGCUAAUCUGCGAAAAGCGUCGGUAAGGUGAUAUGAACCGUUAUAACCGGCGAUGUCCGAAUGGGGAAACCCAGUGCAAUUCGUUGCACUAUCGUUAACUGAAUACAUAGGUUAACGAGGCGAACCGGGGGAACUGAAACAUCUAAGUACCCCGAGGAAAAGAAAUCAACCGAGAUUCCCCCAGUAGCGGCGAGCGAACGGGGAGCAGCCCAGAGUCUGAAUCAGCUUGUGUGUUAGUGGAACGGUCUGGAAAGUCCGACGGUACAGGGUGAUAGUCCCGUACACCAAAAUGCACAGGUUGUGAACUCGAAGAGUAGGGCGGGACACGUGGUAUCCUGUCUGAAUAUGGGGGGACCAUCCUCCAAGGCUAAAUACUCCUGACUGACCGAUAGUGAACCAGUACCGUGAGGGAAAGGCGAAAAGAACCCCGGCGAGGGGAGUGAAAAAGAACCUGAAACCGUGUACGUACAAGCAGUGGGAGCACCUUCGGGUGUGACUGCGUACCUUUUGUAUAAUGGGUCAGCGACUUAUAUUCUGUAGCAAGGUUAACCGUAUAGGGGAGCCGCAGGGAAACCGAGUCUUAACUGGGCGUUAAGUUGCAGGGUAUAGACCCGAAACCCGGUGAUCUAGCCAUGGGCAGGUUGAAGGUUGGGUAACACUAACUGGAGGACCGAACCGACUAAUGUUGAAAAAUUAGCGGAUGACUUGUGGCUGGGGGUGAAAGGCCAAUCAAACCGGGAGAUAGCUGGUUCUCCCCGAAAGCUAUUUAGGUAGCGCCUCGUGAACUCAUCUUCGGGGGUAGAGCACUGUUUCGGCUAGGGGGUCAUCCCGACUUACCAACCCGAUGCAAACUACGAAUACCGAAGAAUGUUAUCACGGGAGACACACGGCGGGUGCUAACGUCCGUCGUGAAGAGGGAAACAACCCAGACCGCCAGCUAAGGUCCCAAAGUCAUGGUUAAGUGGGAAACGAUGUGGGAAGGCACAGACAGCCAGGAUGUUGGCUUAGAAGCAGCCAUCAUUUAAAGAAAGCGUAAUAGCUCACUGGUCGAGUCGGCCUGCGCGGAAGAUGUAACGGGGCUAAACCAUGCACCGAAGCUGCGGCAGCGACACUAUGUGUUGUUGGGUAGGGGAGCGUUCUGUAAGCCUGCGAAGGUGUGCUGUGAGGCAUGCUGGAGGUAUCAGAAGUGCGAAUGCUGACAUAAGUAACGAUAAAGCGGGUGAAAAGCCCGCUCGCCGGAAGACCAAGGGUUCCUGUCCAACGUUAAUCGGGGCAGGGUGAGUCGACCCCUAAGGCGAGGCCGAAAGGCGUAGUCGAUGGGAAACAGGUUAAUAUUCCUGUACUUGGUGUUACUGCGAAGGGGGGACGGAGAAGGCUAUGUUAGCCGGGCGACGGUUGUCCCGGUUUAAGCAUGUAGGCUGGUUAUCCAGGCAAAUCCGGAUAAUCAAGGCUGAGGUGUGAUGACGAGGCACUACGGUGCUGAAGUAACAAAUGCCCUGCUUCCAGGAAAAGCCUCUAAGCAUCAGGUAACAUCAAAUCGUACCCCAAACCGACACAGGUGGUCAGGUAGAGAAUACCAAGGCGCUUGAGAGAACUCGGGUGAAGGAACUAGGCAAAAUGGUGCCGUAACUUCGGGAGAAGGCACGCUGGUGUGUAGGUGAAGUCCCUGCGGAUGGAGCUGAGACCAGUCGAAGAUACCAGCUGGCUGCAACUGUUUAUUAAAAACACAGCACUGUGCAAACACGAAAGUGGACGUAUACGGUGUGACGCCUGCCCGGUGCCGGAAGGUUAAUUGAUGGGGUUAUCCGUAAGGAGAAGCUCUUGAUCGAAGCCCCGGUAAACGGCGGCCGUAACUAUAACGGUCCUAAGGUAGCGAAAUUCCUUGUCGGGUAAGUUCCGACCUGCACGAAUGGCGUAAUGAUGGCCAGGCUGUCUCCACCCGAGACUCAGUGAAAUUGAACUCGCUGUGAAGAUGCAGUGUACCCGCGGCAAGACGGAAAGACCCCGUGAACCUUUACUAUAGCUUGACACUGAACAUUGAGCCUUGAUGUGUAGGAUAGGUGGGAGGCUUUGAAGCGUGGACGCCAGUCUGCGUGGAGCCAACCUUGAAAUACCACCCUUUAAUGUUUGAUGUUCUAACGUUGGCCCCUGACCGGGGUUGCGGACAGUGUCUGGUGGGUAGUUUGACUGGGGCGGUCUCCUCCCAAAGCGUAACGGAGGAGCACGAAGGUUAGCUAAUCCUGGUCGGACAUCAGGAGGUUAGUGCAAUGGCAUAAGCUAGCUUGACUGCGAGCGUGACGGCGCGAGCAGGUGCGAAAGCAGGUCAUAGUGAUCCGGUGGUUCUGAAUGGAAGGGCCAUCGCUCAACGGAUAAAAGGUACUCCGGGGAUAACAGGCUGAUACCGCCCAAGAGUUCAUAUCGACGGCGGUGUUUGGCACCUCGAUGUCGGCUCAUCACAUCCUGGGGCUGAAGUAGGUCCCAAGGGUAUGGCUGUUCGCCAUUUAAAGUGGUACGCGAGCUGGGUUUAGAACGUCGUGAGACAGUUCGGUCCCUAUCUGCCGUGGGCGCUGGAGAAUUGAGGGGGGCUGCUCCUAGUACGAGAGGACCGGAGUGGACGCAUCACUGGUGUUCGGGUUGUCAUGCCAAUGGCACUGCCCGGUAGCUAAAUGCGGAAGAGAUAAGUGCUGAAAGCAUCUAAGCACGAAACUUGCCCCGAGAUGAGUUCUCCCUGAGACUUUAAGUCUCCUGAAGGAACGUUAAAGACGAUGACGUUGAUAGGCCGGGUGUGUAAGCGCAGCGAUGCGUUGAGCUAACCGGUACUAAUGAACCGUGAGGCUUAACCUUACAACGCCGAAG
rnacentral:rRNA from 2 species